rnacentral:miRNA from 1 species
UAGGUUAUUGAUUUGACCAAC